GAAGGCGAGCUGUAAUUACUAAAUUUUCUCAGGAAGAAGAAUUUGAGCUAGAGGACUGGUGGGGCAGGCGAAGCUUAGAAAAAUGACAGUGAGCUUGAAGGAGAGAAGCUAAUGCUUGGCAUCAUACAUGGAGGCUCGUGUUCCCAAGUAUCACCAGUGGAUGCAAGAACCUGCUCUUUUCCAAGCUACGGGGUUGUAGCCAUUCUCUCUCGAAGAGGAAUACCAGA
rnacentral:misc_RNA from 1 species